AGAGUUCGAUCCUGGCUCAGGAUGAACGCUGGCGGCGCGCCUAACACAUGCAAGUCGAACGAUUAAAGCACCUUCGGGUGUGUAUAAAGUGGCGAACGGCUGAGUAACACGUGGGCAACCUGCCCCUCUCAUUGGGAUAGCCACGGGAAACCGUGGAUAAUACCGAAUACUUCGAGACUUCCGCAUGGAAGACUCGAGAAAGCUCCGGCGGAGAGGGAUGGGCCCGCGGCCUGUUAGCUUGUUGGUGGGGUAACGGCCUACCAAGGCAAUGAUGGGUAGCUGGGUUGAGAGACCGACCAGCCAGAUUGGGACUGAGACACGGCCCAGACUCCUACGGGAGGCAGCAGUGGGGAAUCUUGCACAAUGGGCGAAAGCCUGAUGCAGCGACGCCGCGUGCGGGAUGAAGGCCUUCGGGUUGUAAACCGCUUUCAGCAGGGACGAGGCGAAAGUGACGGUACCUGCAGAAGAAGCCCCGGCUAACUACGUGCCAGCAGCCGCGGUAAUACGUAGGGGGCAAGCGUUAUCCGGAUUCAUUGGGCGUAAAGCGCUCGUAGGCGGUCUGUUAGGUCGGGAGUUAAAUCCGGGGGCUCAACCCCCGUUCGCUCCCGAUACCGGCAGACUUGAGUUUGGUAGGGGAAGGUGGAAUUCCUAGUGUAGCGGUGGAAUGCGCAGAUAUUAGGAAGAACACCAGUGGCGAAGGCGGCCUUCUGGGCCAUAACUGACGCUGAGGAGCGAAAGCUAGGGGAGCAAACAGGAUUAGAUACCCUGGUAGUCCUAGCCGUAAACGAUGGACACUAGGUGUGGGGGAAUAUUUCUUCCGUGCCGCAGCUAACGCAUUAAGUGUCCCGCCUGGGGAGUACGGCCGCAAGGCUAAAACUCAAAGGAAUUGACGGGGGCCC
rnacentral:rRNA from 2 species